rnacentral:rRNA from 1 species
UGGGGAAUUGUUCGCAAUGGGCGCAAGCCUGACGACGCAACGCCGCGUGGAGGAUGAAGAUCUUCGGGUCGUAAACUCCUGUCGAGCGGGACGAAAGAUCCGCGACCUAAUACGUCGCGGAAGUGACGGUACCGCUAGAGGAAGCCCCGGCUAACCCCGUGCCAGCAGCCGCGGUAAUACGGGGGGGGCUAGCGUUGUUCGGAAUUACUGGGCGUAAAGGGCUCGUAGGUGGCCAACUAAGUCAUGCGUGAAAUCCCUCGGCUUAACCGGGGAACUGCGUCUGAUACUGGAUGGCUUGAAUCCGGGAGAGGGAUGCGGAAUUCCAGGUGUAGCGGUGAAAUGCGUAGAUAUCUGGAGGAACACCGGUGGCGAAGGCGGCAUCCUGGACCGGUAUUGACACUGAGGAGCGAAAGCCAGGGGAGCAAACGGGAUUAGAUACCCCGGUAGUCCUGGCCCUAAACGAUGAAUGCUUGGUGUGACGGGUAUCGAUCCCUGUCGUGCCGAAGCUAACGCAUUAAGCAUUCCGCCUGGGGAGUACGGUCGCAAGGCUGA